GGAGGGUUGACCGAAUCGGUAAGGCAGCGGCUUGCUGAGCCGUCGGGCGAACAGCCUGUGCGAGUUCGAAUCUCGCACCCUCCGCCA
rnacentral:tRNA from 1 species